GCCUGGUGGUUCCCAGAGUCAGCUCCACAGUGCUGAACUGUGGGUUUUUUUUAUAAACAGGCACAUAUUGAUUCUGCAAUUUUAUGCAUGGAGGCUGUCACAAUUGCAGCUUUCCAUAGCCCGGUUGCAGAUACACUC